GUUGUGCUGUACUCCUGGCAUCCACAGGGCUGGAGACAGCAAUGCUGGCCAGGUUGGGCAGUGGAAAGUGCUGGUCACCCAGGAGAUGGAGCUGUAUGAGCUUUCAGUCAAGGAACACAGCCAUUAACCCUGAUGUGUUCAAGUGAGAAGGACAAGAAACUUAAGAAGUCUGUGAGACUGGAAGGAAGAAGUUGAAUGAGAAGCAGAGAGCAGGAGACCAGGAGUAGAGGAUGGAGCGAAGGAGGAAGAAAGAGCGUUUGCUGAAGGGGAGCACAGGUCUGAUCAUCUGGCCCAGGCCUGUGGUUCCUAACGCAUGGGUCUACGUUCACUCUGGUGCAGCACCACAGUUGUGGCCAGAAGAAGCAGUGUGCACAACUUGUUGUUACCUGGCAGACACCUCCAUGAGCUAUCACACAUCCUCUGUACACCGGAUCUACAGAACGUGAGUAAUUAGCUCCCCAUUCAUUAACAUCAUUGUUCUCAGUGCACCAGUGCAUGGACAGAGAAGCUGUACACAUAACCAUCAUCCUAUGAAGACAGCCAACCUCACUCUGCAGUUCAGGUGAGAGAAAUACAUUUCCCAUC
rnacentral:lncRNA from 1 species